rnacentral:rRNA from 1 species
UUUGAAAUCCGGCUUUCGGGCCCGAAUUGUAAUCUGCAGAUGAGUCUUUUGGCAAAGCGCCGUCCAAGUUCCCUGGAACGGGACGCCGGAGAGGGUGAGAGCCCCGUACCGACGUGCGUCUAGCCUUUGCAAAGCUCAUUCGAAGAGUCGAGUAGUUUGGAAAUGCUGCUCUAAUUGUGGGGUAAAUCUCCCAUAAGGCUAAAUACUGGCCAGAGACCGAUAGCGCACAAGUAGCGUGAGCGAAAGAUGAAAAGAGCCUUGAACAAGGGCGUCAAAAAGCAUGUGAAAUUGUUAUGGGGGAAGCGCUCAAUGCCAGACGUGGCGGAGGCUGGUUACCCGGCGUUCUUCGCCGGCGCACUCGGUCGCCCGCCAGGCCAGCAUCAGUUCGGCCCGGGGCUUACUGCCGCUCGGAACGUGGCUCUUCGGAGUGUUAUAGCCUUGCGGUGACGUCCUGGACCGGACUGAGGAACGCGCAUCUGCCCGGAUGCUGGCUUAAUGGCUUUUAGCGACCCGUCUUGAAACACGGACCAAGGAGUUGACCUAGUAUGCGAGUGUUUGGGUGUAAAGCCCUCACGCGCAGUGAAAGCGAACGCAGGUGGGAGCUUCGGCGCACCAUCGACCGAUCCUGAAGUUUACGGAUGGAUUUGAGUAGGAGCAUACUGGGUCUGACCCGAAAGAAGGUGAACUAUGCAUGAAUAGGGUGAAGCCAGAGGAAACUCUGGUGGAGGCUCGCAGCGGUUCUGACGUGCAAAUCGAUCGUCAAAUUUGUGCAUGGGGGCGAAAGACCAAUCGAACCUUCUAGUAGCUGGUUCCUGCCGAAGUUUCCCUCAGGAUAGCAGAGUUGAUCCUCAGUUUCAUGAGGUAAAGCGAAUGAUUA